CCUACGGGGUGCUGCAGUGGGGAAUAUUGGACAAUGGGCGAAAGCCUGAUCCAGCCAUGCCGCGUGUGUGAAGAAGGUCUUCGGGUUGUAAAGCACUUUCAGUGGGGAAGAAAGCCUUGGGGCUAAUACCCUCGAGGAAGGACAUCACCCACAGAAGAAGCACCGGCUAACUCCGUGCCAGCAGCCGCGGUAAUACGGAGGGUGCGAGCGUUAAUCGGAAUUACUGGGCGUAAAGCGCGCGUAGGCGGUCUGAUAAGCCGGUUGUGAAAGCCCCGGGCUCAACCUGGGAACGGCAUCCGGAACUGUCAGGCUAGAGUGCAGGAGGGGAAGGUAGAAUUCCCGGUGUAGCGGUGAAAUGCGUAGAGAUCGGGAGGAAUACCAGUGGCGAAGGCGGCCUUCUGGACUGACACUGACGCUGAGGUGCGAAAGCGUGGGUAGCAAACAGGAUUAGAUACCCCGGUAGUC
rnacentral:rRNA from 1 species